GGCGGACAUAAAGUGGAAAGGAGGGGAAAUAACUCACCAUGCAGCAGGACACCUUCAGCGGUGGGGUCUUUGUAAUGCAGAGUUCAACAAAGCCAACAACUGCUUCAUGUGUGCCACUGAUAAAGAACCUGGAUGUGGCCCAAAGACUGACUGGAUUGAAUGUUUUGCAUGCCAACGGUGGUUCCAUGUGCUGUAACUAGGAAUGAAGACAAAAGAGUUCAACAGAGUAAAGAACACAAACUGGAAGUGCAGUCUUUGUUGUUGAAUAUGUAUGCUAUACCCCAUCCACACUGAAGAGGCUCUGAAAUGUACAUCAACCAGGGAUAAAGAGAAGGUUAAGUGUCUGACAUGUUGGAAAAGAUUAAAGGUCUACAAUUUCAGGUUAAUUUGCCAAUAUUACAUUUUUAUUUACUUGCCACCAUUACUGUGGUUACAUGUUCAGUAUAUGUAUUGACCAGCAAACCCACUGCAGCCUACUUCACUAGCUCACUCUCCAUCCCUGCUUUGGACAAUUAAUAGCAUGAC